UAGGGAAUCUUCCGCAAUGGACGCAAGUCUGACGGAGCAACGCCGCGUGAGUGAAGAAGGAUUUCGGUUCGUAAAACUCUGUUGUUAGAGAAGAACAGCGCAUAGAGUAACUGUUAUGCGUGUGACGGUAUCUAACCAGAAAGCCACGGCUAACUACGUGCCAGCAGCCGCGGUAAUACGUAGGUGGCAAGCGUUGUCCGGAUUUAUUGGGCGUAAAGCGAGCGCAGGCGGUCAAUUAAGUCUGAUGUGAAAGCCCCCGGCUCAACCGGGGAGGGUCAUUGGAAACUGGUUGACUUGAGUGCAGAAGAGGAGAGUGGAAUUCCAUUUGUAGCGGUGAAAUGCGUAGAUAUAUGGAGGAACACCGGUGGCGAAAGCGGCUCUCUGGUCUGUAACUGACGCUGAGGCUCGAAAGCGUGGGGAGCGAACAGG
rnacentral:rRNA from 1 species